rnacentral:rRNA from 1 species
GAUGAACGCUGGCGGCGGGCCUAAUACAUGCGAGUCGAGCGAACAUACGAGUACCUUGCUCCUCGAACGUUAGCGGCGGACGGGUGACUAACACGUGCAUCACCUACCUAUAAGACUGGGAUACCUUCGGGAAACCGAAGCUAAUUCCGAAUAAUAUAUGCAUCACCUUGGUUCAAUAGUUAAAGACGGUUUUGCUGUCACUUCUCGAGAUUUCCGCGCCGCAUUAGCUAGUUGUUAAGGUAACGGCUUACCAAGGCGACGAUGCGUAGCCGACCUGAGAGGGGGAUCGGCCACACUGGAACUGAGACACGGUCCAGACUCCUACGGGAGGCAGCAGUAGGGAAUCUUCCGCAAUGGGCGAAAGCCUGACGGAGCAACGCCGCGUGAGUGAUGAAGGUCUUCGGAUCGUAAAACUCUGUUAUUAGGGAAGAACAAAUGUGUAAGUAACUAUGCACGUCUUGACGGUACCUAAUCAGAAAGCUACGGCUAACUACGUG